CCAAUGAACUUACAACUACAACAACACGCCAUAUCGUCCAAUAUACAUACCAUAAGACAAUAUCAGAUUCAUAAGAAAGUAUAAAAGGCGAGUUACUUCGUUACUUUAACCAUAAGCAAUUUUAAGUGUUACUUUGUUUCUAGUCUUCAUUUUACAAACUCUCCACCAACCAAAACCAAAAAUGGGCGCAGAAAAAGUAUCCAUGAACAUCGUUGUCGUCGGACAAGUGCAAUCCGCCAAAUCCGCCAAAACCGUCACCAAGGUCCAACCCCAAGUAUCUCAAUACAAUAUGAGCUGUUAAUUGAACUCACAUUUCUCCACCUCAAAAAUGCCAUAGACCAACCGGAUAUUAUGUCCAAUGUAUAAAAACUUGACAUGUAGAGUUUAAAAAUCAAUCAAUAAACCAGCUUUUCCGUUAA